rnacentral:rRNA from 1 species
ACGGGGUGCAGCAGGCGCGAAACCUUUACACUGCACGCAAGUGCGAUAAAGGGGACCCCAAGUGCGAGGGCAUAUAGUCCUCGCUUUUCACGACUGUAAGGCGGUCGUGGAAUAAGAGCUGGGCAAGACCGGUGCCAGCCGCCGCGGUAAUACCGGCAGCUCAAGUGAUGACCGAUAUUAUUGGGCCUAAAGCGUCCGUAGCCGGCCACGAAGGUUCAUCGGAAAAUCCGCCAGCUCAACUGGCGGGCGUCCGGUGAAAACCACGUGGCUUGGGACCGGAAGGCUCGAGGGGUACGUCCGGGGUAGGAGUGAAAUCCCGUAAUCCUGGACGGACCACCGAUGGCGAAAGCACCUCGAGAAGACGGAUCCGACGGUGAGGGACGAAAGCUAGGGUCUCGAACCGGAUUAGAUACCCGGGUAGUCCUAGCUGUAAACGAUGCUCGCUAGGUGUGACACAGGCUACGAGCCUGUGUUGUGCCGUAGGGAAGCCGAGAAGCGAGCCGCCUGGGAANACUCCGCAAGAGAUA